CAGUCGCCACGGUAAUACGGAGGGGGCUAGCGUUGUUCGGAAUUACUGGGCGUAAAGCGCACGUAGGCGGUUUUGUAAGUCAGAGGUGAAAGCCCGGAGCUCAACUCCGGAACUGCCUUUGAGACUGCAUCACUUGAACGUCGGAGAGGUGAGUGGAAUUCCGAGUGUAGAGGUGAAAUUCGUAGAUAUUCGGAAGAACACCAGUGGCGAAGGCGACUGACUGGACAAGUAUUGACGCUGAGGUGCGAAAGCGUGGGGAGCAAACAGGAUUAGAUACCCGCGUAGUCCCUGUCUCUUAUAC
rnacentral:rRNA from 1 species